AUCUUCUUUUUUCUUUUAUUAUAUCCUCCGUUUUGUUUAUUAUAUCCUUUAAAUAAUAUGAACGUGUUGAGACUGUUCGAGAAUUAAAAAAUAUUAUUACUUUUUUACUCCUUUUCUUUUUCUUUCUUUAUUUUUCUUUUCUCUCUCUCUCUCUCUCUCUCUCUCUCUUUUUUUUUUUUUUGCAACCACUAGCUAACUGUGAUGUUCGUAAAUAUCACGCUCGGUGCUCGCUAAAGAGCUCACAGUUUCCGCUAAGUCUUUGCCAGGAGCUUGCUUCAUUCUCGCUUCAUGAUGAAAGUGUGUCGUUGAACGAUUUAUCUCUCUCUCUCUCUCUCUCUCUCUUUCUCUCUCUCUUUCUAUCUAUCUCUGUCUCUCUUUUUCUCUCUGUAUUUUUGGUUUCCGUAGUAGUAAUAAAUGAGAAUGAAGAAAUACGUGAUGGAAAGAAGAAAAGAAAAGAAAAUUAAUAGAAAUGAUAAUAAAAGUUUGGAUUAGAUUGAACAUUUAUCUUAGUUAAAGUAUACACUUCUUCCGAAAGUUUAUUACCUGGUUUGAGUUAGUCUGAGAUGAACACAAAUUUUGGUGUCUUUCUGUCUCUCUUUCUUUCUCUCUUUUCGUUUCCAUUUUUGUAAUGAACAGAGAAAGAAAAAAUACGUGCAAAAAGAAAGAAAAAGUAUUAAUGACUGAAAAUAAUAAUAAAAGUGUAACUUAAUCCGAUGGAAUCACGAUUGAACUCGUUUAUCUUUUUUCAUGUAUACACUCCUUCUCCAAAAGUUUAUUACUCUGGCCUGGGAAUCGUUGAGAUGAACACAAAUUUUAGAAGGAGCUACUUCGUUAUAUUACUUCUGCAUUUAAAGAAACUGAAAUGAAAAAAACUCCAAACGUUCAGUGGAAAUUAUUCUCAAGUGGUGACGAUAAACACACCAGAGAGUUGACGAGUUUAAAUCUCUUAAGAGAGAAUUUAUUUCAUUGUGUCACAAUAAUCUACCAAUGUAAUGUCCACGUUCACGACAGUGUGUAAACGGAAAAAAAAAAAACAAAAAGAAAA